UCCACGCCCUAAACGAUGCGAACUGGACGUUGGGCUCAAUUGAGAGCUCAGUGUCGAAGCUAACGCGUUAAGUUCGCCGCCUGGGGAGUACGGUCGCAAGACUGAAACUCAAAGGAAUUGACGGGGGCCCGCACAAGCGGUGGAGUAUGUGGUUUAAUUCGAUGCAACGCGAAGAACCUUACCUGGUCUUGACAUCCACGGAACCCUUGAGAGAUCGAGGGGUGCCUUCGGGAA
rnacentral:rRNA from 1 species